GAUGAACGCUGGCGGCGUGCCUAAUACAUGCAAGUCGAGCGAACAGAUGAGGAGCUUGCUCCUCUGACGUUAGCGGCGGACGGGUGAGUAACACGUGGAUAACCUACCUAUAAGACUGGGAUAACUUCGGGAAACCGGAGCUAAUACCGGAUAAUAUAUUGAACCGCAUGGUUCAGUAGUGAAAGACGGUUUUGCUGUCACUUAUAGAUGGAUCCGCGCCGCAUUAGCUAGUUGGUAAGGUAACGGCUUACCAAGGCAACGAUGCGUAGCCGACCUGAGAGGGGGAACGGGCACACUGGAAAUGAGACACGGUCCAGACUCCUACGGGAGGCAGCAGUAGGGAAUCCUCCGCAAUGGGCGAAAGCCUGACGGAGCAACGGCGCGUGAGUGAUGAAGGUCUUCGGAUCGUAAAACUCUGUUAUUAGGGAAGAACAAAUGUGUAAGUAACUAUGCACGGCUUGACGGUACCUAAUCAGAAAGCCACGGCUAACUACGUG
rnacentral:rRNA from 1 species